rnacentral:scRNA from 1 species
CACGGAAAAGAGCCCGACUCCGUGAACCAGGC